UACGGGGGGAGCAAGCGUUGUUCGGAUUUACUGGGCGUAAAGGGCGCGUAGGCGGCCACCGCAAGUCAAUUGUGAAAUCUCCGGGCUUAACUCGGAAAGGUCAACUGAUACUGCGGGGCUAGAGUGCGGAAGGGGCAACUGGAAUUCUCGGUGUAGCGGUGAAAUGCGUAGAUAUCGAGAGGAACACCUGCGGCGAAAGCGGCUUCCUGGUCCAGCACCGACGUCAGGCACGAAGCGUGGGGAGCAAACAGG
rnacentral:rRNA from 1 species